UGCACUCCAGCCUGGGCAACAAGAGAAAAACUCCAUCUCAAAAAGAAAAAAAAAAGAAAAGAAAAGAAAAACCCACUCCAACAAUGGCACUGGGAUUGAGGAACAGGGCUCAUUUUUGACUCGUGUUUUCGAUUUAUCACCAAAAAGAAAAACCAAAAGUGUCCUUCUUGUUUUGAUGGGUAUCCAUUCACACGACAUCAGAAAAAAAGGGAAUUGGCCUCAACAAAAUACUGAAGCAGUACAUGUCUCUCCUCAUUGUUUUUAAACCCACAUUAGAGGAAAAAGACACUUAAAAAUAUAGGUUGAACAGAGCAACAUAUUCUAGGAAGCAGCUUUUUCGUCAGGAUUCCAUACAUUAUUAAAAGGCUUUAAAAGCCAGUUUGGAAUCUUCCAUCAUGAACAAAGUGAAACAUUUGAAUUAGAUCCUUGAUUCCCAAAUAUCCUGCCUUUGACAGAUCCAGCCUGUUUUGACAUAUUAGCCCAUGAUUUAAAAAAAUAAAUAAAUAAAUAAAGGGAGAAUACAGGGGUUUAAACCUAAAGCUGAAUUUUUAAUUAAGGUGUUUUUUUUUUAUGUUAUUUUGAGAUUAUGUUAUUUCUACUUUUUUGGCCAUGAUGAUGUCAUUUCUUUUCUGAAUUGUUGGCGAUUUCACAAAAUGUCUGUGCCUGCAAAAGUAAAACAAAUAGCGUUCCUUUAUUGCACUCUGAAUUUAUUAUUUUUGAAAUGUUUUGUCUUGAAAUAACUGGAUAGGAUAACAAAAGAAUGAAGUGUGUUCUCUAAUUUCUUAUUUUUGAAAGUGUCUAAAAGUGGAAGAGUUAUGCUUUGCGAUGAAGUCUAGUAAUACAGUGAUAUAGAAGAAAAAAAUGAAUUAUUUAUGUGAUGGGACAAGAAUUAUUAAAAUAAUUUCCCUGAAAUGACCCCUCCUCCUUCCUGCUAAAGAGACUCCUUUGCUUUCUUGUUUGUCACUUUUAUUUUUUGUACUCUCCCUGUACUCUGAAGAAGGUUCAGCUUUUGCUAGGCAGGUUAAUUAGAGGUUUUGCAAGGCAUAAUCUCAACAACAACAAAAAAAAGAGGAACAGAAAGACAGGACAAGUUGUGAGGAUUUUGCAAGAGAAGGAAGAAGGAGGGAGCAUAAAGUGUGAAGGAAACAAAUGGCAAUGGAUUGGGAACUGUUUAAUAAAUAUUCAAAAUACCAAUAAAGAACUUGGUAUUUGUUUGUGGUUACCUAAUUUGGCUCCUCUCAUAGCACAUCCUCCUAAGACUGCAUCACAAGUCUCAUUACCUCCAUAAGGUUGUAUUUGGUUUUGGUAAAAAAAAGAAAAAAAAAAAAAGUGCCAACAUCCAAUUUGUGCUUAGGGUCAUUUCUUUUUUCUUUUCUUUUUUUAAGGGGGAAAAAACCUAGAACCUUGGUAUUUUGAUGCCAUUCUCUCUCCCUCCUUCUGACAAAGAAGAUAAAAAUGGCAUCCUGGAACAGAUCACAUCUUUAAUGUCAUUUACAUUUAUCUUCUCAUUAUCAUUUCUCUCUUCACUCUUCAAGGUGCUGGUUAAGUAUCACCUCCAUUCUGCUGGUUCCCUGGGCAAGGCAGAGCUGUUUGCUCCUUUUCCUAGGUAACUGUAGUAUUGCUAAUAACUCUGCCAUUGCGUCUCCCCAUAGCACUGCAUGAAAGGAUAUUUAUUUGACUCCUUUCCUCCGUUUCAUUGAACCUGCUCUGGGGCCCUGCUGUUCAAAAUGUGCUUCCAGGAACCAGCAGGAUCAGCAUCGCCUGUGAGCUUGUUCACAAGGGAAACAGUCUCCACUCCAGACCUACAGAAUUAAAAUCUCUGGAGGCGGCACAGGACUUCGGGGUUCUUAUGCCCAGUAACUCUCUAGAGUAAGGAUCAGUACUUAUUUAACUUUAUGUCCCUAAACAUGACACACACAGCAACCCUUCAUAAUAUAAAAGUUAAAUGAAAAACUCUUUUGUUGUUAUUAUUGCUGAAGCAUCCCUUCCAAGUCUCCCUCAUAGGCCAAUGACAUGUUCUCAGCAAAAUCAGUUUUGCUGUGAUUUUUCCUGUCAGUAUUGACUGGAGCUUAUCGAGUUUGCCUUACACACUCCAGUCUGUAUCACAGCUUUUGUUUGAUUCAAGCCUCCCAUUGCACAUUCCAAACCAGUUCUGUUUGCAGACCCCCUGCCAGGGCCAGAGAGAGCACUUGUUAAUGUUAAUGACAUUUCUGGGCAGGGAGAAAAUGCAGGCUAGACAAAAAAAGAAAAAGAAACUAAAGGGACCCUGGCCAGGAAAGAUGGGGAGUGUAUGAACAUGGAAACACUCUGGCCAAAUAUUUAUUAUCAAUAGGGUUUUCAAAAUAGCUGUAAAUCUGGAAGACCUCAAGGCCUUCCAAAACGAAUUUGACCUCAUUAUACACAGUGAAAAAUAGAGAAGGGUGCAUGCCAAGACUGUAAUAUUGCAACAGAAAGACCCGAUACAAGAGCUGUUAACUGGAACAACUUAGUAGUUUCAUAUGAAAUGAGAGCCUAAGAUGCUAACAUUCAAUGUGCCCAGUUAAAGGAACAUUGAGAGUUGAAGCAAUUAUUCUUGUAAUUGAGUGGGGGAAAAAAUCAUUCCUUUUGGAAAAGAGAGUCAGACCUUGCAAUUAGCAGUUUACAUUGAUCAAAGACAUUAGGGAACUGCUUCACUGGUCCAUCUUUUGCCUUGUAGAUUGAGGCUACUGCAUCCCUUUGCUCAUGUGCCCCUAACAAUCUUACCAAGAUACUGCACUCGAAAUGGACCUUGUUUUUGUACAAAAACCUUUUGCAAACCUGAAAAUGAUUAGACUAUGGUUAGAGUCUGGUGCUCAAAAAUCUCAGCAUGUAUAUACACACACACAGCGAUAGCUGUAGCUUUUCAGAUGCACUCUUUUUUCUUAUGCAAUACAUCAGACAUAUAAAAAAUAUCAAAGAUGCUGCAGCAAAUGCCAUAUGUCCACCCCGCAGCUUGCAACAUAAAAUAUAACGAAUAUAAUGGAAUCCUUCUCAGUCACUCUCGCUGAUUACAACCCCUCCCCUACUCCCUAACAGUGGUGGGCAUACUGCUGAACUUACUGUGUAUCACUCCCACAUAGCUCUCUCUUGUUUUACCAUAUAUGCAUAUACCCCAAGAGAAUACAUAUCUUUGGACACAUUCAUAUAGAAAUACACGUAAAUGUAUAUUUUGGAAUAUCUAUUUUUGAACACAUUUACAUAUUUUUGAACACAUUUUUCUGUGUCCAAAAACCACACAUAAAUGAUGUAUUCAUACUGUAUGUCUCCUCCUGCAAAUUACUUUUUGUUGUUGUUCAGCAUUAUAGUUUUCAGAUUUAUCCACAUUGGCACAUAGAGAUCUAGUUUAUUCAUUUUAACAUGGCACACCAGACAUGAUUUUGCUACAAUUUAUUUUCUAUUUCCCUACUGGUGGACAAUUAAUGUUUGGUUGAUUGUUGUCUUCCUAACGUUUCGCUUGGAUGCCAAAACGAAUCUUCUAUGUGUCUCCUUCAUGUGUGCAUCUAGGGAUGAAAUAUCUCAAAAGUACAUGCGUCUUGAACAGCCCAUGAUGUUACAAAACUGAGCGCCAAAGCAGGUGCUUCAGGAUACACUCCCACCAGCAUCACGGCAGAGCGCCCGCUGCCCCCACGUCUUAGCCAACAUGUAGUGUUGCCUCGUUUUUAAGAGUUGCAGAUUUGAAGAGUUUGAAAUAACAAAGGCUUUCCAAGAUGCUUUCCAAAGAUUACCACCCCCAGCCAAAAACACUUGACUCCAUUAGAACUGAGAACAUUCAGUCAUCAGACAUAUUAAAUAAUGUAUUUCUACCAGUACCAUUAAGUGCCUUAACACUGUGUCUGGAACAUAAUGGGCAUUCAAUACAUAUUUGUUGAAUGAAUUCAUUUCCACUAUUGCAGAUGACUCAGAAAAUGAAACAAGAAAAAUAUAUGCCAGGAAAGCAGUGAACAGCUAGCACACAGCUAUUCGUUGGAAGAGGAAAAAUAGUAUACAAUUCCAAAUGCUCUCUCUUUACUUACCUUGAUAAUACAGCUUGUUUCAUCAGGUACCCUUGUGGUUUUAACUCCUACACUUUACAGUCAAUGAGCAAAAACCAAUUCCACUCCUCAAAUUCUUCUCACUUACUAUUCAGCUGUCUCAAUUCAUUAAUUUGCUUAAUCAGCCCUCAUCAAUAACACUUCUCUCCAAUGCAUUCCUCUAACUCAAAGGAAAAGCAAGCUCUGAAUACUCAAAAGUGUGAAUCUACAAAGAAACAAGAAUGGCAGAAAAAAAAUACUUGUAGCAGUGCCUUUUGGAGGCUUAACAAUAACUUCAUAUUAACAUGUCUGCUAUUGUCAAAGAUCAAGGGUGAAAGACAUUUCUCAUUUUGCUGAUACCACAGUCAAUUAAAAAUUUUGAAUUAAAUGGUUACAACUUUCAGUGUCUACCAAAUAUAGUUCCAUGGAGGUUAUCCACACAGAGAGGCUGCAGGAAGGCCUCUGAAGCAUUUUCUACAAAGUGUGGCUCAUCUAAACUCGGAUUUCUACAAGCAGCAUAAAAGCCACUCACAUUCGGGAAAUUUGCAGGUCCAUGGGCAUUAGUGCAGCUGACCUGAACAAGAGCGAUCAACUGUUCUUCUGCUUAUCAAGU